AAGAUACAUAAUAAAAUAAAAGUAUCUUCAUACUUUUGUACAAUUGAGCAAGAAAGCUUGAGAUUUCCUCUCAUAGUAGUAGUCAUUGGAGGAAGAAGCAUCAGCGGAGAAUAUCAUAACUCCAUUAACAUCGAAUCCAUUAUUCUCCAGCAAAGCUAAAGCAUCAAAAAAUGCAUCCCCUUGAAUACCUCUUCCAUUGACUUCAUAGCUAGGCAACAAUUUAU
rnacentral:misc_RNA from 1 species